GAUGAACGCUGGCGGCGUGCCUAAUACAUGCAAGUCGAGCGAACAGACGAGGAGCUUGCUCCUCGGACGUUAGCGGCGGCCGGGUGAGUAACACGUGGAUAACCUACCUAUAAGACUGGGAUAACUUCGGGAAACCGGAGCUAAUACCGGAUAACAUGCUGAACCGCAUGGUUCAACAGUGAAAGACGGUCUUGCUGUCACUGAGAGAUGGAUCCGCGCCGCAUUAGCUAGUUGGUAAGGUAACGGCUUACCAAGGCAACGAUGCGUAGCCGACCUGAGAGGGUGAUCGGCCACCCUGGAACGGAGACACGGUCGAGCCGCCUACGGGAGGCAGCAGUAGGAAAUCUUCCGCAAUAGGCGGAAGCAUGCCGGAGCAACGCCGCGUCAGGGAAGAAGGUCUUCGGAUCGUAGAACUCUGUUAUUAGGAGAGAACAAAUGUGUAAGUAACUGUGCACGUCUUGACGGUACCUAAACAGAAAGCCCCGGCUAACUACGUG
rnacentral:rRNA from 1 species